GAUCAUGGCUCAGGAUGAACGCUGGCGGCGCGCCUAACACAUGCAAGUCGAACGGCACCCCUCUCCGGAGGGAAGCGAGUGGCGAACGGCUGAGUAACACGUGGAGAACCUGCCCCCCUCCCCCGGGAUAGCCGCCCGAAAGGACGGGUAAUACCGGAUACCCCGGGGUGCCGCAUGGCACCCCGGCUAAAGCCCCCGACGGGAGGGGAUGGCUCCGCGGCCCAUCAGGUAGACGGCGGGGUGACGGCCCACCGUGCCGACAACGGGUAGCCGGGUUGGG
rnacentral:rRNA from 1 species